rnacentral:misc_RNA from 1 species
UCCAUUGGAAUGCAGCUGAUCCAUGGACUGUUGUAAGUGUGUCUGAUGAUUGUGAUACGACUGGUGGAGGAGGGACGCUGCAGAUUUGGCGGAUGAGCGACCUAAUUUAUCGGCCAGAAGAUGAGGUGUUAGCUGAGCUUGAAAAAUUCAAAUCUCAUGUAAUUGAAUGUGCCGCAAAGCCUUGAGAAGAGCUUCGUAAAGUUCUCUAGCUGUGUUUUCUUCGGACAUAACUCAGUAGGUUGUAGAUCUUGUGUUUGUAGUAGG